rnacentral:ncRNA from 1 species
AUCGCGGACCGGGCCCCUCUGGCGCGGCGAUUUGGCCAACCUUGGUAAUCGCUGCGUGAUGUCGGACCGCAUCG